rnacentral:rRNA from 1 species
UAGGGAAUCUUCCGCAAUGGGCGAAAGCCUGACGGAGCAACGCCGCGUGAGUGAAGAAGGUCUUCGGAUCGUAAAACUCUGUUAUUAGGGAAGAACAAAUGUGUAAGUAACUAUGCACGUCUUGACGGUACCUAAUCAGAAAGCCACGGCUAACUACGUGCCAGCAGCCGCUGUAAUACGUAGGUGGCAAGCGUUAUCCGGAAUUAUUGGGCGUAAAGCGCGCGUAGGCGGUUUUUUAAGUCUGAUGUGAAAGCCCACGGCUCAACCGUGGAGGGUCAUUGGAAACUGGAAAACUUGAGUGCAGAAGAGGAAAGUGGAAUUCCAGGUGUAGCGGUGAAAUGCGCAGAGAUAUGGAGGAACACCAGUGGCGAAGGCGACUUUCUGGUCUGUAACUGACGCUGAUGUGCGAAAGCGUGGGGAUCAAACAGG